UCAGUCGACUCCUACGGGGAGGCAGCAGUGGGGGAAUAUUGCACAAUGGGCGCAAGCCUGAUGCAGCCAUGCCGCGUGUGUGAAGAAGCCGUUCGGGUUGUAAAGCACUUUCAGUCGUGAGGAAGGUAGUGUAGUUAAUAGCUGCAUUAUUUGUACGUUAGCGACAGAAGAAGCACCGGCUAACUCCGUGCCAGCAGCCGCGGUAAUACGGGAGGGUGCGAGCGUUAAUCGGAAUUACUGGGCGUAAAGCGCAUGCAGGUGGUUUGUUAAGUCAGAUGUGAAAGGACCCGGGGCGUCAACCUACGGAAUAAGCAUUUAGUAAACUAGGCAGACUAGAGUACUGUAGAGGGGGGUAGGAAUUUCAGGUGUAGCGGUGAAAUGCGUAGAGAUCUGAAGGAAUACCAGUGGCGAAGGCGGCCCCCUGGACAAAGACUGACGCUCAGAUGCGAAAGCGUGGGGAGCAAACAGGAUUAGAUACCCUGGUAG
rnacentral:rRNA from 1 species